GACAGAGAGAGGACGGGAACAUUGAUUUGAAGGGAGAGUGAUGCUGGCGGGUUGACCACCUAAAAAAACAGCAUAAAAAUCUGACAAUAUAGUUACAGAAAUGAUGGCUUUACAAUACAGGUUCAUGAUCACCUUCUUGUCAUUGAAGAGCCCGUCGAUGUCCACCCUGCAGCAGUACGGCCCACUGUCGGUCCGCCGCACGUGAAGGAUGUCCAAGUCCAUCUGUCCCUCCAGGACGUCUCCUGUCAAUCGCAGAAUCGCUGACCUCAGAGAUGACGCCGUUUUCAUCCGUCUGGAUGAGGAUGUUGCUGCACCACAGGGUCCCGCAGCCGCGACCCCAGCAGACCCGACUCAAGCCAAAACGCUGCACCGAGUACUCGCAGGACAGGGAAGCCACGCCCCCUUCAGUCACUCUGAAACAGGAGGCCGGAACCAAACGGCCACCUGACCAGGCCGCAAAGUUUACCAAAAUAAUGCAUGCCAAUGUACAGUAGGUUUACAUGUCGUAUUUGUGUACAUAGUGGUGUCAUCAGUCGGCGUCUCACCUGACAUGAGGAGGAACACGGCGGCGAAGGUCUGACUCUGAGGGGUACAAUGGCAGCGAGGCAACGCCGAGGCCAUCCUGAUGUGUGUGUGGUCAUAAAUGACGCACGC